rnacentral:rRNA from 1 species
GACGAACGCUGGCGGCGUGCUUAACACAUGCAAGUCGAACGGAAAGGCCCUGCUUUUGUGGGGUGCUCGAGUGGCGAACGGGUGAGUAACACGUGAGUAACCUGCCCUUGACUUUGGGAUAACUUCAGGAAACUGGGGCUAAUACCGGAUAGGAGCUCCUGCUGCAUGGUGGGGGUUGGAAAGUUUCGGCGGUUGGGGAUGGACUCGCGGCUUAUCAGCUUGUUGGUGGGGUAGUGGCUUACCAAGGCUUUGACGGGUAGCCGGCCUGAGAGGGUGACCGGCCACAUUGGGACUGAGAUACGGCCCAGACUCCUACGGGAGGCAGCAGUGGGGAAUACUGCACAAUGGGCGGAAGCCUGAUGCAGCAACGCCGCGUGCGGGAUGACGGCCUUCGGGUUGUAAACCGCUUUCGCCUGUGACGAAGCGUGAGUGACGGUAAUGGGUAAAGAAGCACCGGCUAACUACGUGCCAGCAGCCGCGGUGAUACGUAGGGUGCGAGCGUUGUCCGGAUCUAUUGGGCGUAAAGGGCUCGUAGGUGGUUGAUCGCGUCGGAAGUGUAAUCUUGGGGCUUAACCCUGAGCGUGCUUUCGAUACGGGUUGACUUGAGGAAGGUAGGGGAGAAUGGAAUUCCUGGUGGAGCGGUGGAAUGCGCAGAUAUCAGGAGGAACACCAGUGGCGAAGGCGGUUCUCUGGGCCUUUCCUGACGCUGAGGAGCGAAAGCGUGGGGAGCGAACAGGCUUAGAUACCCUGGUAGUCCACGCUGUAAACGGUGGGUACUAGGUGUGGGGUCCAUUCCACGGGUUCCGUGCCGUAGCUAACGCUUUAAGUACCCCGCCUGGGGAGUACGGCCGCAAGGCUAAAACUCAAAGGAAUUGACGGGGCCCCGCACAAGCGGCGGAGCAUGCGGAUUAAUUCGAUGCAACGCGUAGAACCUUACCUGGGUUUGACAUGGAUCGGGAGUGCUCAGAGAUGGGUGUGCCUCUUUUGGGGUCGGUUCACAGGUGGUGCAUGGCUGUCGUCAGCUCGUGUCGUGAGAUGUUGGGUUAAGUCCCGCAACGAGCGCAACCCUUGUUCACUGUUGCCAGCACGUUAUGGUGGGGACUCAGUGGAGACCGCCGGGGUCAACUCGGAGGAAGGUGGGGAUGACGUCAAGUCAUCAUGCCCCUUAUGUCCAGGGCUUCACGCAUGCUACAAUGGCUGGUACAGAGAGUGGCGAGCCUGUGAGGGUGAGCGAAUCUCGGAAAGUCGGUCUCAGUUCGGAUUGGGGUCUGCAACUCGACCUCAUGAAGUCGGAGUCGCUAGUAAUCGCAGAUCAGCAACGCUGCGGUGAAUACGUUCCCGGGGCU